CCCAGACUCCUACGGGAGGCAGCAGUGGGGGAUAUUGCACAAUGGGGGGAACCCUGAUGCAGCGACGCCGCGUGGGUGAAGGAGCGUUUCGGCGCGUAAAGCCCUCUCGGCAGGGAAGAAGGAGGACGGUACCUGACUAAGAAGCCCCGGCUAACUACGUGCCAGCAGCCGCGGUAAUACGUAGGGGGCAAGCGUUAUCCGGAUUUACUGGGUGUAAAGGGGGCGCAGACGGCAGCGCAAGCCAGGAGUGAAAGCCCGGGGCCCAACCCCGGGACUGCUCUUGGAACUGCGCGGCUGGAGUGCAGGAGGGGCAGGCGGAAUUCCUGGUGUAGCGGUGAAAUGCGUAGAUAUCAGGAGGAACACUGGUGGCGAAGGCGGCCUGCUGGACUGCGACUGACGUUGAGGCCCGAAAGCGUGGGGAGCAAACAGGAUUAGAUACCCCAGUAU
rnacentral:rRNA from 1 species